GGCAGAGCUCAAAUUUGAAAGCUGGCUCCUUCGGGGCCCGCAUUGUAAUUUGCAGAGGAUGCUUCGGGAGCGGCCCCCAUCUAAGUGCCCUGGAACGGGCCGUCAUAGAGGGUGAGAAUCCCGUCUGGGAUGGGGUGCCCGCGCCCGUGUGAAGCUCCUUCGACGAGUCGAGUUGUUUGGGAAUGCAGCUCUAAAUGGGUGGUAAAUUUCAUCUAAAGCUAAAUACUGGCCGGAGACCGAUAGCGCACAAGUAGAGUGAUCGAAAGAUGAAAAGCACUUUGAAAAGAGAGUUAAACAGCACGUGAAAUUGUUGAAAGGGAAGCGCUUGCGACCAGACUCGCCCGCGGGGUUCAGCCGGCAUUCGUGCCGGUGUACUUCCCCGCGGGCGGGCCAGCGUCGGUUUGGGCGGCCGGUCAAAGGCCCUCGGAAUGUAACGCCCCCCGGGGCGUCUUAUAGCCGAGGGUGCCAUGCGGCCAGCCCGGACCGAGGAACGCGCUUCGGCUCGGACGCUGGCAUAAUGGUCGUAAGCGACCCGUC
rnacentral:rRNA from 1 species